rnacentral:rRNA from 1 species
AACGAACGCUGGCGGCGUGGAUAAGACAUGCAAGUCGAACGAUCACUAUUGGGUAGCAAUAUUCGGUAGUGGGAGUGGCGCAAGGGUGCGUAACACGUGGGUAAUUUGCCGUAAAGUCUGGGAUAACUUGCUGAAAGGCGAGCUAAUACCGGAUGUGAUUGCUGGAGGGCAUCCUCUGGCACUUAAAGUCGGGGACCGUAAGGCCUGACACUUUUCGAUAGGCCCGCGGCCAUCAGCUAGUUGGUGAGGUAACGGCUCACCAAGGCUAAGACGGGUAGCUGGUCUGAGAGGACGGCCAGCCUCACUGGAACUGAGACACGGUCCAGACACCUACGGGUGGCAGCAGUCGAGUAAUUUUUC